rnacentral:rRNA from 1 species
UUAAAUUGAAGAGUUUGAUCAUGGCUCAGAUUGAACGCUGGCGGCAGGCCUAACACAUGCAAGUCGAACGGUAACAGGAAGCAGCUUGCUGCUUCGCUGACGAGUGGCGGACGGGUGAGUAAUGUCUGGGAAGCUGCCUGAUGGAGGGGGAUAACUACUGGAAACGGUAGCUAAUACCGCAUAACGUCGCAAGACCAAAGAGGGGGACCUUCGGGCCUCUUGCCAUCGGAUGUGCCCAGAUGGGAUUAGCUAGUAGGUGGGGUAACGGCUCACCUAGGCGACGAUCCCUAGCUGGUCUGAGAGGAUGACCAGCCACACUGGAACUGAGACACGGUCCAGACUCCUACGGGAGGCAGCAGUGGGGAAUAUUGCACAAUGGGCGCAAGCCUGAUGCAGCCAUGCCGCGUGUAUGAAGAAGGCCUUCGGGUUGUAAAGUACUUUCAGCGGGGAGGAAGGGAGUAAAGUUAAUACCUUUGCUCAUUGACGUUACCCGCAGAAGAAGCACCGGCUAACUCCGUGCCAGCAGCCGCGGUAAUACGGAGGGUGCAAGCGUUAAUCGGAAUUACUGGGCGUAAAGCGCACGCAGGCGGUUUGUUAAGUCAGAUGUGAAAUCCCCGGGCUCAACCUGGGAACUGCAUCUGAUACUGGCAAGCUUGAGUCUCGUAGAGGGGGGUAGAAUUCCAGGUGUAGCGGUGAAAUGCGUAGAGAUCUGGAGGAAUACCGGUGGCGAAGGCGGCCCCCUGGACGAAGACUGACGCUCAGGUGCGAAAGCGUGGGGAGCAAACAGGAUUAGAUACCCUGGUAGUCCACGCCGUAAACGAUGUCGACUUGGAGGUUGUGCCCUUGAGGCGUGGCUUCCGGAGCUAACGCGUUAAGUCGACCGCCUGGGGAGUACGGCCGCAAGGUUAAAACUCAAAUGAAUUGACGGGGGCCCGCACAAGCGGUGGAGCAUGUGGUUUAAUUCGAUGCAACGCGAAGAACCUUACCUGGUCUUGACAUCCACAGAACUUUCCAGAGAUGGAUUGGUGCCUUCGGGAACUGUGAGACAGGUGCUGCAUGGCUGUCGUCAGCUCGUGUUGUGAAAUGUUGGGUUAAGUCCCGCAACGAGCGCAACCCUUAUCCUUUGUUGCCAGCGGUCCGGCCGGGAACUCAAAGGAGACUGCCAGUGAUAAACUGGAGGAAGGUGGGGAUGACGUCAAGUCAUCAUGGCCCUUACGACCAGGGCUACACACGUGCUACAAUGGCGCAUACAAAGAGAAGCGACCUCGCGAGAGCAAGCGGACCUCAUAAAGUGCGUCGUAGUCCGGAUUGGAGUCUGCAACUCGACUCCAUGAAGUCGGAAUCGCUAGUAAUCGUGGAUCAGAAUGCCACGGUGAAUACGUUCCCGGGCCUUGUACACACCGCCCGUCACACCAUGGGAGUGGGUUGCAAAAGAAGUAGGUAGCUUAACCUUCGGGAGGGCGCUUACCACUUUGUGAUUCAUGACUGGGGUGAAGUCGUAACAAGGUAACCGUAGGGGAACCUGCGGUUGGAUCACCUCCUUACCUUAAAGAAGC